GACGAACGCUGGCGGCGUGCUUAACACAUGCAAGUCGAACGGAAAGGCCCUGCUUUUGUGGGGUGCUCGAGUGGCGAACGGGUGAGUAACACGUGAGUAACCUGCCCUUGACUUUGGGAUAACUUCAGGAAACUGGGGCUAAUACCGGAUAGGAGCUCCUGCUGCAUGGUGGGGGUUGGAAAGUUUCGGCGGUUGGGGAUGGACUCGCGGCUUAUCAGCUUGUUGGUGGGGUAGUGGCUUACCAAGGCUUUGACGGGUAGCCGGCCUGAGAGGGUGACCGGCCACAUUGGGACUGAGAUACGGCCCAGACUCCUACGGGAGGCAGCAGUGGGGAAUAUUGCACAAUGGGCGGAAGCCUGAUGCAGCAACGCCGCGUGCGGGAUGACGGCCUUCGGGUUGUAAACCGCUUUCGCCUGUGACGAAGCGUGAGUGACGGUAAUGGGUAAAGAAGCACCGGCUAACUACGUGCCAGCGGCCGCGGUGAUACGUAGGGUGCGAGCGUUGUCCGGAUUUAUUGGGCGUAAAGGGCUCGUAGGUGGUUGAUCGCGUCGGAAGUGUAAUCUUGGGGCUUAACCCUGAGCGUGCUUUCGAUACGGGUUGACUUGAGGAAGGUAGGGGAGAAUGGAAUUCCUGGUGGAGCGGUGGAAUGCGCAGAUAUCAUGAGGAACACCAGUGGCGAAGGCGGUUCUCUGGGCCUUUCCUGACGCUGAGGAGCGAAAGCGUGGGGAGCGAACAGGCUUAGAUACCCUGGUAGUCCACGCUGUAAACGGUGGGUACUAGGUGUGGGGUCCAUUCCACGGGUUCCGUGCCGUAGCUAACGCUUUAAGUACCCCGCCUGGGGAGUACGGCCGCAAGGCUAAAACUCAAAGGAAUUGACGGGGCCCCGCACAAGCGGCGGAGCAUGCGGAUUAAUUCGAUGCAACGCGUAGAACCUUACCUGGGUUUGACAUGGAUCGGGAGUGCUCAGAGAUGGGUGUGCCUCUUUUGGGGUCGGUUCACAGGUGGUGCAUGCCUGUCGUCAGCUCGUGUCGUGAGAUGUUGGGUUAAGUCCCGCAACGAGCGCAACCCUUGUUCACUGUUGCCAGCACGUUAUGGUGGGGACUCAGUGGAGACCGCCGGGGUCAACUCGGAGGAAGGUGGGGAUGACGUCAAGUCAUCAUGCCCCUUAUGUCCAGGGCUUCACGCAUGCUACAAUGGCUGGUACAGAGAGUGGCGAGCCUGUGAGGGUGAGCGAAUCUCGGAAAGCCGGUCUCAGUUCGGAUUGGGGUCUGCAACUCGACCUCAUGAAGUCGGAGUCGCUAGUAAUCGCAGAUCAGCAACGCUGCGGUGAAUACGUUCCCGGGGCU
rnacentral:rRNA from 1 species